UUCUAAUUAAACUACUUCUUGA
rnacentral:tRNA from 1 species